AUCAUUUAGAGGAAGGAGAAGUCGUAACAAGGUUUCCACGGGUGAACCUACGGAAGGAUCAUUGUCGAAAUCUGCCUAGCAAAAAGACUCGAUAACUGAUUUCAAUGUGAUGAGGCAUGGCGGCUCUACGUCCCCUCAUCCCACGAGGUCGCGGCCGCGCACUUUCACUCAUCUCRUCUCCCUGCAAGACUCGUUGUGCGCUCUCCUCCGGGCGUACAAAUGAAAACUAGCACGAACCUUGCCAAGGAACCCGAAUGAAUAGGUGCACUUCCGCAAGCCCCAUAAACGGUGCUCGUACGGGCUGCGUUGCUAAAUUCGUUACUAUGUCAAAACCACUCUCGGCAACGGAUAUCUCGACUCUAGUAUCGAUGAAGAACGUAGCGAAACGGGAUACUUGGUGUGAAUUGUAGAAUCCAGUGCACCAUCAAGUCUCUGAAUGUAAGUUGCACUCGCGAAGAAAUUGAUGAUGGCCUCCAGUGAGCUCCACCGUGAGGUUGGCACAAGUACCUAGUUUUUGGUGACGUGCGCUACGAUAAUCGGUGGUUGAAAGAUCUAUGUCGUAAGUCUUGCACGCUCAUCGAGUCACGCGGGCUCGCAAAGCACCAUGCCCUGCGCUGAGUGCGGAGCUUUCAAUGCAACCCCAGGUCAAGCGGGUUUACCCGCUGAAUUUAAGCAUA
rnacentral:misc_RNA from 1 species